rnacentral:rRNA from 1 species
GAUGAACGCUGGCGGCGUGCCUAAUACAUGCAAGUCGAGCGAACGGGCGAGAAGCUUGCUUCUCUGAUGUUAGCGGCGGACGGGUGAGUAACACGUGGAUAACCUACCUAUAAGACUGGGAUAACUUCGGGAAACCGGAGCUAAUACCGGAUGAUGUUUUGAACCGCAUGGUUCAAAAGUGAAAGACGGUCUUGCUGUCACUUAUAGAUGGAUCCGCGCUGCAUUAGCUAGUUGGUAAGGUAACGGCUUACCAAGGCAACGAUGCAUAGCCGACCUGAGAGGGUGAUCGGCCACACUGGAACUGAGACACGGUCCAGACUCCUACGGGAGGCAGCAGUAGGGAAUCUUCCGCAAUGGGCGAAAGCCUGACGGAGCAACGCCGCGUGAGUGAUGAAGGUCUUCGGAUCGUAAAACUCUGUUAUUAGGGAAGAACAUAUGUGUAAGUAACUGUGCACAUCUUGACGGUACCUAAUCAGAAAGCCACGGCUAACUACGUG